GACGAACGCUGGCGGCGUGCCUAAUACAUGCAAGUAGAGCGCUGAAGAGAGGAGCUUGCUCUUCUUGGAUGAGUUGCGAACGGGUGAGUAACGCGUAGGUAACCUGCCUGGUAGCGGGGGAUAACUAUUGGAAACGAUAGCUAAUACCGCAUAAAAUGGAUUAUCGCAUGAUAAUCCAUUGAAAGGUGCAAAUGCAUCACUACCAGAUGGACCUGCGUUGUAUUAGCUAGUUGGUGGGGUAACGGCUCACCAAGGCGACGAUACAUAGCCGACCUGAGAGGGUGAUCGGCCACACUGGGACUGAGACACGGCCCAGACUCCUACGGGAGGCAGCAGUAGGGAAUCUUCGGCAAUGGACGGAAGUCUGACCGAGCAACGCCGCGUGAGUGAAGAAGGUUUUCGGAUCGUAAAGCUCUGUUGUAAGAGAAGAACGAGUGUGAGAGUGGAAAGUUCACACUGUGACGGUAUCUUACCAGAAAGGGACGGCUAACUACGUG
rnacentral:rRNA from 1 species